UAUAUAUAUAUAUACAUAUAUAUGUGUAUAUACUACAGAAUACGAUGGUGGCGAUUGCGUUCUGCAGCAAGUAAGUCCAGUUCUUGAUUAAUACAAUUCUUCUGACAGCUUGUUUCUGUUAUUUCUUAUUUCCAUUGCAAUAUCCGAAACAAUUAGGUUCAGUGCUAAUCUUUGCUGUAUCUUGUAAAAGCGUCUUACUAUUUCUCGAUCAUUUCCUUUCUCCAAUAUCGGUGCAGCAGAUUUUCCAGGAUUUUCCUCAACAAUCUUGUGCCCUUGAUUUAUUUUGUUAUCGUUUCAUUUCAUCAUAAUUAACAUUCUUAGGCUACCCUGCAUUUGUGCAUACAUCGACAAUUGUGGUGCUUCUUUUGGAGACGAACUGAAGCUCUCUUCGGGGUCCAUACAGCGCCAAUUAGUAGGUGGCAAAACGCUCAAACUGUUAGCCAAAAUCGUCUGUUGGUAAUUUGGCUAGCAGUUCGAGCGUUUUGCAGUUGUCCUAAUUGGCGCUGUACGGACUCGGAUUAAGCUUUGCUUUUUUCCACAAGAGACAAUAAAAAAUCGCUUAGCGAUAUGCGCUGCUAUAUUCGCACAAAUAAGUUGAUCGUACGUACAUUGAGAACGAGCGUCGCCCUAAUGAGCCACGAAUAGUAGUUACUACAGUACGCGUCUUAGGUCCAUCGAGCCAAAGGGGAGCGAGACGGCUCCGACAGGAGUCA